AAUAAAUAUUGAUGCAAACGAAAGAAAUGUCUUUGGGUGUUUUUGCUGAAGCAAUGAAGAAACAGUGUGGAAUUUCAUUUAUACACCAAAAGCAUGAUUUGUUAAAUGUGUUUAAUUGGAAACCAUCACUGAAAGAGGUGAUACUUUUGUUAUUACUGACAUCGGGUACACUUCACUUUAUUUCCCUGUCAAUUCCUGUACCGACUUAAGUCUGGCAGAAGUUCCAAUAGAGGUGUACCAGAAUUGUUCAGGGAAGGAUCGCGUCUUACACUGUCUGCCUAACGACCAUGAUGACCUCGGACUCUGUUGUUUCUCAAUUACAUGGAUAGAAAAAGGCAUUUUUACUUU